rnacentral:rRNA from 1 species
UUCGUAGGGUGCAAGCGUUGUCCGGAAUCACUGGGCGUAAAGGGUUCGCAGGCGGAAAUGCAAGUCAGAUGUAAAAGGCAGUAGCUUAACUACUGUAAGCAUUUGAAACUGCAUAUCUUGAGAAGAGUAGAGGUAAGUGGAAUUUUUAGUGUAGCGGUGAAAUGCGUAGAUAUUAAAAAGAAUACCGGUGGCGAAGGCGACUUUCUGGCCAUUUUCUGACGCUGAGGUACGAAAGCGUGGGUAGCAAACAGG